UUCUGGUUGAUCCUGCCAGACCUGACUGCUAUCGGAUUGAUACUAAGCCAUGCGAGUCAUUGUAGCAAUACAAGGCAGACGGCUCAGUAACGCGUAGUCAACCUAACCUAUGGACGGGAAUAACCUCGGGAAACUGAGAAUAAUGCCCGAUAGAACACUAUACCUGGAAUGGUUUGUGUUCCAAAUGAUUUAUCGCCGUAGGAUGGGACUGCGGCCUAUCAGUUUGUUGGUGAGGUAAUGGCCCACCAAGACUAUUACAGGUACGGGCUCUGAGAGGAGUAGCCCGGAGAUGGGUACUGAGACACGGACCCAGGCCCUAUGGGGCGCAGCAGGCGAGAAAACUUUGCAAUGUGCGAAAGCACGACAAGGUUAAUCCGAGUGGUUUCUGCUAAAGGAACCUUUUGUUAGUCCUAGAAACACUAACGAAUAAGGGGUGGGCAAGUUCUGGUGUCAGCCGCCGCGGUAAAACCAGCACCUCAAGUGGUCAGGAUGAUUAUUGGGCCUAAAGCAUCCGUAGCCGGCUCUGUAAGUUUUCGGUUAAAUCUGUACGCUCAACGUACAGGCUGCCGGGAAUACUGCAGAGCUAGGGAGUGGGAGAGGUAGACGGUACUCGGUAGGAAGGGGUAAAAUCCUUUGAUCUAUUGAUGACCACCUGUGGCGAAGGCGGUCUACCAGAACACGUCCGACGGUGAGGGAUGAAAGCUGGGGGAGCAAACCGGAUUAGAUACCCGGGUAGUCCCAGCUGUAAACUAUGCAAACUCAGUGA
rnacentral:rRNA from 1 species